GGCUUCAUAGCUCAGUUUGGGAGAGCAGCAGACUGAAGUUUUCCAGUCCAUCUGAAGGUCCCGCGUUCGAUCCGCGGUGAAGCCA